AACGAACGCUGGCGGCAGGCCUAACACAUGCAAGUCGAACGCCCUAGCAAUAGGGAGUGGCGCACGGGUGCGUAACGCGUGGGAAUAUGCCCUUCACUGCGGAAUAACGUUUGGAAACGAACGCUAAUACCGCAUAAUGACUCCGGUCAAAAGAUUUAUCGGUGAAGGAUUAGCCCGCGUUAGACUAGCUAGUUGGUGAGGUAAGAGCUCACCAAGGCAACGAUCUAUAGCUGGUCUGAGAGGAUGAUCAGCCACACUGGGACUGAGACACGGCCCAGACUCCUACGGGAGGCAGCAGUGAGGAAUAUUGGACAAUGGGCGCAAGCCUGAUCCAGCCAUGCCGCGUGAGUGAAGAAGGCCUUCGGGUUGUAAAGCUCUUUCAGUUGUAAAGAUAAUGACGGUAACAACAGAAGAAGCCCCGGCUAAAUUCGUGCCAGCCGCCGCCGUAA
rnacentral:rRNA from 1 species